GUCUCUUUGUGCACCCGCCCACACGGUUUGCCGUGUUUUCACCCUUCUUUGUUCUCCACCGGUCUGGGCAGGGUCUGAGGACUCCGGAGAGCAAGGCAUGGGUCCGCCUCGUGCCGCAGGUAUCCUGGGGUCCUGUGGGGAGGGCUCUGCGGUGUGGGGCCGGGUAUGAUGACCCACAUUUACAGACUAGAGUUUCUGAUGUCCACGUGACGCCACUCCUUGUAACUGACCCAGGCCGGGGUGGGGGCUGCAGGCCGGGGUCUCUACGACCUGUGCUCAUUCAAUGAUCUCUUCCAGGUUCCUGGCCCACGCCAGCCGUACCCAGUAGCACAAUGGUAAGCGCAUGCUGGCGAGAGGUAGGCGGUGUGAGGAGGGGCUGGUUUCGGGGAGAGGACAGUAAUGAUGAUUUCUGGUGAUUCUGAGUGUCUCGCUGACGCCAUCACCGCAGCGCGCUGACCGUCCCCGGGUCCAAAAUCGGCAGUGGCGUGGGUUUUGAGUGGCCUAGAGUUCUGAGUAAUUUACCUCUGUGUCUUGCUUUCUGGUAGGGAUUUGAGGACACACGCCAGCUGCCUACACCUGAAGAAAGGGCUUUGCUGCUACGCACUGACAAGUUGGACGGCUUUUUAUUGCUUUGUUGCCAGUUAUCUGAACAUGAGAGGCUGUAAGGUGUAAUCUGCGAGCCCUGCGCCCAGACUGAACCAGGGCCUCCCUUGAACAUGAGUAUUAGACAAAUGAAAUAAGAACUUAUCUUGCCCAGACUAUAUAAUGGCUUGGAAAUGCAUAGUUUCCUGAACGAUCUCAAUAAAAUACUUUUAAAAGUACUUAAAUAGA
rnacentral:lncRNA from 1 species